GAUCAGGGAAUUGGGAUAGAGGAUAGAAUGGGUUUCUCAUAUCUUAAACAAUAUGUUACCACUCUAUUUGUAUAUCUAUUAUACAUGUCAAAUAUAAAUAAGUCGGUUCUGUCUUAACAGUUAUUUUAAGAAAUAUAAUCAAACCAAACCAAAUUAACCAUACCCUUGAAAAUCAAAACAAAAUCAAAUCACAUAAUGAAAACAACCAAAUUUCUUGGGCUCCCCAGGUACUACCGGAGGAUUGUUCACAAUUUUAGCUGACCCUUAGCAACUCAACAUCAAGGGCUACCAGUGAAUCAAAAGGACAUGAUGGGUGUAGUGAAGCCCAUACAGAAAUGGCAACCAUAUUUGUGGGGCAAAAAUUUUCAGAACUGACCAUUAUAGCUUGAAGUAUUUAUUAGACCAAAGACUAGAGACACCAACUCAACAUAAAUGGCUCACUAAAUUGCUGGGAUUCAAUUUCUCUGUCAAGUACUGUCCCGAAAAAUCAAGCAAUAUGGCUGAUGUGUUAACAGAAAAUUUGAAGAAAAAAUGGUAUUUAAGGCUAUCUCCAUUUCUCAACUUUGUUGCCAGGGAUACAGGAGCACAUAGCAACAUCAACACGUCAAGAGAGCUUUGGUAUAGACUCAACUUACUUUGUUGCCAUAGAUACAGAGUGCAUAGCAGCAUCAACACUUCAAGAGAGCAAUGAAUAGAAUUAAGGUAAAGAAGGACAGCACCCAGCAGUAACAAACCAAAUCACCAGGCACACAAACAAGGCCUUCUUGGACCCCAGCUUUCCAAUAUUCUUCCAAUUAUUGAAGCCAUCCAUAAUGCUCACCAGGAGUGAUUUCAAUAAACUAUCCAUGGAGCAACAAACGGACCCUCCAUAAAGAAACUCAGGAAUUCUUCAAGUGUCUAAAGGCUACUGUUAAAAAGUUUGCUCAAGGAUGUGUCAAAUGCCAACGCCACAAAUCUGAAACACUUCGACCAGCCAGUUUACUCAGCCCAUUACCAAUACCCAAUCAGAUUUGGGCUGAUAUUUCUAUAUAUUUUGUGGAGGGGUUACUGUAGUCUAUGGGUAAGAAUGUACUUGUGGUGGACAGAUUCUCCAAAUACUGUCAUUUAAUACCUCUCGACAAUCCUUACUAGUGUUGCCAAACUCUUCUUUGACAAUAUUGUCAAACUCUAUGGCCUGCCAGAGUUAACUAUUAGCGAUUGGGAUGCCACUUUCAUCAGCACCUUCUAGAAGAAAUUUGUUACAUACCAUACCAGAGGAGAAGAAGAGCUGAUGAGAGGGAGUUUUCGCGGGAAAGAAUUACUUAGUAGGUAGUUAGAAAUGGAGGGAAAAGCUAGUAUUACCGGUAAUUAUUCAUUCCAAGGAUCAAUAAAAAGAAUUGUCUUCUUUCUUCUCUAAUUAUCUCAAUCUUCUCCCCUUUCUAUUUGUUUUCUUAACCUAGUCUAUUUCCACCUCUUUCUCUCCCUAUUUCUCUAU
rnacentral:misc_RNA from 1 species